UGAAUUGACGGGGCCGGCACAAGCGGAGGAACAUGUGGUUUAAUUCGAUGAUACGCGAGGAACCUUACCCGGGCUUGAAAUGCAUCUGACCGGCCUUGAAAGAGGUUUUCCCUUCGGGGCAGAUGUGUAGGUGCUGCAUGGUUGUCGUCAGCUCGUGCCGUGAGGUGUCGGCUUAAGUGCCAUAACGAGCGCAACCCUCAUCAUUAGUUACCAUCAGGUAAGGCUGGGGACUCUAAUGAGACUGCCAUCGUAAGAUGUGAGGAAGGUGGGGAUGACGUCAAAUCAGCACGGCCCUUACGUCCGGGGCGACACACGUGUUACAAUGGGUGGUACAAAGGGCAGCUACCUGGCGACAGGAUGCUAAUCUCCAAAACCACUCUCAGUUCGGAUCGGAGUCUGCAACUCGACUCCGUGAAGCUGGAUUCGCUAGUAAUCGCGCAUCAGCCACGGCGCGGUGAAUACGUUCCCGGGCCUU
rnacentral:rRNA from 1 species